GGCUCAGAAUCAACGCGGGCGGCGCGCUUAACACAUGCAAGUCGAACGAGAAAGUGGAGCAAUCCAUGAGUAAAGUGGCGUACGGGUGAGUAACACGUGGGUAAUCUACCUCUUAGUGGGGAAUAACGCUGGGAAACCGGCGCUAAUACCGCAUAAGCCUGAGAAGGGAAAGCAGCAAUGCGCUGAGAGAGGAGCCCGCGGCCGAUUAGCUAGUUGGUAGGGUAAGAGCCUACCAAGGCAGAGAUCGGUAGCCGGCCUGAGAGGGCACACGGCCACACUGGCACUGAAACACGGGCCAGACUCCUACGGGAGGCAGCAGUGGGGAAUCUUGCACAAUGGGGGCAACCCUGAUGCAGCGACGCCGCGUGAACGAUGAAGCCCUUCGGGGUGUAAAGUUCUUCCGGCAGGGAAGAUAGUGACGGUACCUGCAGAAGCAGCUGCGGCUAACUACGUGCCAGCAGCCGCGGUAAUACGUAGGCAGCGAGCGUUGUUCGGAGUUACUGGGCGUAAAGGGUGUGUAGGCGGUGCUUUAAGUUUGGUGUGAAAUCUCCCGGCUCAACUGGGAGGGUGCGCCGAAUACUGAAGUGCUAGAGUAUGGGAGAGGAAAGUGGAAUUCCUGGUGUAGCGGUGAAAUGCGUAGAUAUCAGGAGGAACACCUGUGGUGUAGACGGCUUUCUGGACCAUAACUGACGCUGAGACACGAAAGCGUGGGUAGCAAACAGGAUUAGAUACCCUGGUAGUCCACGCCCUAAACGAUGCAUAUUUGGUGUGAGCCAUUCAUUUGGUUCGUGCCGGAGCUAACGCGUUAAAUAUGCCGCCUGGGGAGUACA
rnacentral:rRNA from 1 species